rnacentral:rRNA from 1 species
GACGAACGCUGGCGGCGUGCUUAACACAUGCAAGUCGAACGCUGAAGCUCAGCUUUUGUUGGGUGGAUGAGUGGCGAACGGGUGAGUAACACGUGAGUAACCUGCCCCCUUCUUUGGGAUAACGCCCGGAAACGGGUGCUAAUACUGGAUAUUCACUGGUCUUCGCAUGGGGGUUGGUGGAAAGGGUUUUUCUGGUGGGGGAUGGGCUCGCGGCCUUUCAGCUUGUUGGUGGGGUGAUGGCCUACCAAGGCUUUGACGGGUAGCCGGCCUGAGAGGGUGACCGGUCACAUUGGGACUGAGAUACGGCCCAGACUCCUACGGGAGGCAGCAGUGGGGAAUAUUGCACAAUGGGCGCAAGCCUGAUGCAGCGACGCCGCGUGAGGGAUGGAGGCCUUCGGGUUGUGAACCUCUUUCGCUCAUGGUCAAGCCGCAACAAUGGUUGUGGUGAGGGUAGUGGGUAAAGAAGCGCCGGCUAACUACGUG